rnacentral:rRNA from 1 species
CUAGGGUCAUUUAGAGGAGUAAAAGUCGUAACAAGGUUUCCGUAGGUGAACCUGCGGAAGGAUCAUUAUCGAAAUUAUUGGUGAGGGUUGUAGCUGGCCUUUCGAGGCAUGUGCACGCUCGAGCCCUUAAUCCACUUUACACCUGUGCACUUAAUGUAGGUCGCCCUUAAAAAAGGUGACCUAUGUCUUAUCAUCAACCCAUCGUAUGUCUCAUAGAAUGUAAUCGAUAUCCUCGCCCUGAAAAAGCGUUGAUAAACUUAUACAACUUUCAACAACGGAUCUCUUGGCUCUCGCAUCGAUGAAGAACGCAGCGAAAUGCGACAAGUAAUGUGAAUUGCAGAUUUUCAGUGAAUCAUCGAAUCUUUGAACGCACCUUGCGCUCCUUGGUAUUCCGAGGAGCAUGCCUGUUUGAGUGUCAUUAAAUUCUCAACUCCAAGGGUUUCACGACCUUUCGGAGAUUGGACUUGGAGGUGCUGGCCGCAUAUUGGUCGGCUCCUCUCAAAUGCAUCAGCGGAAUUCAACCUUUGGCUUCCGGAUGUCAGUGUGAUAAUCAUGUUGCGCUGUCGUUUGAUCCCUCAGAGUCCGCUUAUAAUGGUCUUCGGACAAAAUCAUCAUCAAAUUUGACCUCAAAUCAGGUAGGACUACCCGCUGAACUUAAGCAUAUCAAUAAGCGGAGGA